rnacentral:lncRNA from 1 species
UUCCGGGAAGGAGAGCGGAGCAUUUGCCUGUUAGGGUUGAUUGACCGCGUCCCAAAUUUACGAGUCCGAAGCAGAGUGGAGUUGUUUUUCACGUUUGUUUAACAUUUUAGAGAUUACAGUGCGCUUUUACAAACGCUAGAUCCUUACAAAAACCCUAUGAGGUAGGAAUUAUUGUCUUGCGUUUUGUAGGUGAGAAAAUUGCCCGCAGUGACCAGCCCCAAAUUUUUACACUUAGACUCAGGGAUGGAGCUUGAAUCCAAGUCCUGGUUCAAGUCCGAGUUUCUUCUGCUACACGGUAGCUGAAAAGUACUAAUUCUUAAUCAUAUGUUGUGUACUUAUUUACAAUUUCAUUGUACUUUUUUCCAGCCCGACUUACCUCCUCCAUAUACUUGUUUGGGGGGGGGGGGGCUGUAAGCAAGUUCUAUAAUAAUUGUAAAAAAGUUAAUAGCCAGAGGAACUGGCAUCAAGUACUGACUACCAACAACACUCGUUCUCCAUUUCACAGCUCCAGUUCCCUUUCCUCUGGAUAGGAAGGUAAGAUACCCCCUCGGUGAAGGUCUGCCCAACUUGAAAUAUCUGAACUUAGUCCACUUGCUCAGGUAAUGUGGAGGAUCAGAGUAUUUGAAACAGUCCUCUGGUUUCCAUUUUAGCUCCAUAAACUUAGAUUUUCCUUUGAGGUAGCCAAGCCAACGGCAAAUAGAUAGAAAAGGAUCUUUCUGUCACUGUCUCCAACUUUCUACCUAAGAAUUCCCGGAAUCUUCAGAAUAAAAAGGCCAUUCGUUAUGACACCAUUUUCAGAAGGGCAGACAAACUCCCUGGAUUCAGAGCCUGUCUCUAUCAUUUAUUAGCUGUAUAAUCUUUUAGGCCAGUUAACCUAACACUACCAUGCCUUCUUUUUUGGCAUCUGUAAAAUGGGGUUGUUAUGAAGGUAACAUGUAAACUACUAAAUAGUAACCAGAAUGUUGCUUAAUAAAAUGUUAGUAUUGGCAUUACUACUUUUCCCAACUUUUCAUGUCUUCACGCUCACCUUGUACCAUGGAAAACAAUAAAUAAAUAUGUUGGUCUCUGCCUCCUGUUUCUGACACUGGGCUCCUGAAAAUCUUGUCAAUUCCCAAGUGAUAGGUGCAUUGGAAGCAUCUUUUGUUUUGUGAGGGGACUCUGGAUGGGUUCUUAGAUGUGGUCUGGUCUCCAGGUAGAUAAAGCCUGAUUAGAAGCUUGGAAUUUUCAGCCCCUCCUCCCAUUCUAUAGAGAGGGGAGAAAGGCCGGAAAUGGGGUCAAUUGAUCACACCUACAUGAGGAAGACUUAAUAAAAUCCCAGUAGUAUGGAGUUUGGAGAGCUUCCAGGCUGGUGAACCCAUCCACAUACCAGGAAGAUUACACACCCCAACUCCACUAGGCAGAUGCUCCUACACUCCCAGACUUUCCCUGUGUAUCUGUUCAUCUGGUUGUUCAGGUUCUUCAUCUUUAUCCUUUACCAUAUCCUUUAAUAAACGGAGUUCUGUGAGUUGUUCUAUCCAAUAAUCAAAUUGAAGGGGAGGAGGUUAUGGAAACCUCCAGUUUAUAGCCAUGUUGGACAAAAGUUGUGGGUAACCCAGGCACUUAAUUACUUGCAAUUGGCAUCUGAACGGGGGCAGUCUUGUGGGACUGAGCCCUUAACCUGUGGGAUCAGAUGCUGUCUCCAGGUGUUGUCUCCAGUUUGACAGAGUCAGAAUUGAGCUAAAUCGUAGGAGACCCAGCUAGUGUCACAGAAUUGCUUGGUGAGGGAAAAACCCACAUCUGGUUUUAGAAGCGUUGUGAGUGUGGCAGUAGUGUGAAAAUAAAGGAGAAACAGAAAUGAGACCAGGUUUUUCCCUUUACAUACUGUAACCAUACUGUUGAUUCUCUGAGCAAUUAGUACUUCUCAGUCUUUCUGUGCAUAAGUAACUUGUUUUAUCUGCCUAUAAUUUGCAGUUUCUUACAUAUUCUCCCAAUUGACUCAAAUAUUUUUUUCAAGAAUCUUGGAGUUCCUGUCGUGGCGCAGUGGCUAAUGAAUCCGAUUAGGAACCAUGAGGUUUCGGGUUCGAUCCCUGGCCUUGCUCCUAGACUGCAGACGUGGCUUGGAUCCCGCAUUGCUGUGGCUCUGACGUAGGCCGGCGGCAAUAGCUCCAAUUCAACCACUAGCCGGGGAACCUCCAUAUGCCAUGGGAGCGGCCCUAGAAAAGGC